rnacentral:misc_RNA from 1 species
UCCGGUUUGUCACCGGCAGUCUCGCCAGAGUGCCCAACUAAAUGCUGGCAACUGACAACAAGGGUUGCGCUCGUUACGGGACUUAACCCAACAUCUCACGACACGAGCUGACGACAACCAUGCACCACCUGUCAUUCUGUCCCGAAGGGAACACUCUAUCUCUAGAGCUGUCAGAAGAUGUCAAGAGCUGGUAAGGUUCUUCGCGUUGCUUCGAAUUAAACCACAUGCUCCACCGCUUGUGCGGGUCCCCGUCAAUUCCUUUGAGUUUAAGCCUUGCGGCCGUACUCCCCAGGCGGAGUGCUUAAUGCGUUAACGCCGGCACCGAGGGGUGGAAGCCCCCCAACACCUAGCACUCAUCGUUUACGGCAUGGACUAC